GGGUUCUACCGUUGGUCAGGCUAUAGUCUGUACUGGCGUGUGGAAUUUCUACCUUCUGGGGAACUAUCAUGUUAUUAAUUUAGCGUGGUAGGAAACCAGAACCUUUACCUUGAAAAAAUUAGGGUGUUCAAAGCAGGCAAAAAAGAGCCUUGAAUACUACAGCAUGGGAUAACGGAAAAC
rnacentral:rRNA from 1 species